ensembl:snRNA U6 U6 spliceosomal RNA
CUGCUCACUUUGGCAGCACAUAUACUAAAAUUGGAAUAAUACAGAGAUUAACAUGGCCCCUGCACAAGAAUGUUACUCAAAUUUGUGAAGCAUUCCAUAUUUUU